UCAGUAAUGUGAAUCAUUCUUCUUAUGUUUGCUUCAGCUUUUCCUGCCGAUAGUUGUCGUGUACGGCUGAGGACUUCCCACGUUCAGGUUUGGUUCAGAACUGUGCGAUCUUGUUGACAGAGAAGUGGCAACACUUUAAAAAAAAGACAGUAUUACCCCGGUGAAUGCGACGACAACCUACUAGGAAACGUUUUUUUGUGGUUUAAAAAAAAAAUUAAAAAAAAAUAAAAAUAUAUAUAUAUACAAAAGAAUAGCAGUGAUAGAACAUUAUAAGACCCCCUGUGAACAUUCGUGGCCAAUAAACCUAUAUUUGAACAGGACAAAGGUACUUGUCGUACGGGUUAUUGUUGCAUCCGUGUUGUCUCUCUGACGGUGUGUAGUUGGCACCUUAGUCGAGCAGGUGGUUUGUAUACGUGUACCCCCGCUCUGAGUUUCGGGCCCCUUUGAGUGAAGCAAGAGUGACUCGCAGACGAAGCAGCGCUGUCAGUUGGGGUCCUUCGCUCGCAGCGGACGCUCUCAACUCUCUCGUCUCUCACCUGCGGUGUGUGCUCAGCGCACUUGAACCUUUCGAUGCUUUUUGGAAGUCCGCUCGAACAGGAUGUGGAAUCAGCCACGGCGACAACAGCAGCAGCUGUCUAAGUGACCGCACGCUCUCGUCAGAUAGAUAUAAAUUCGCGUUGGACAUUCGAACGGACGGACGUCCCAGUGUUUUGAAGCUGAUUUGGCGUCGUGCUCAGAGAGAUCCUGGAAUCCGCGGGACUCGGAGAAUCUGCAGCGACAACGAGACGUCGUGUGUCGCGGAAAAAGGGAGUAGGGGAUUCCCCGAACAGAAUUCGGCCUUGACCGAGCUCAGGAACCCCGUGACGAGGCGCUGAGCUGCCAUCGUCACGAGCUUCGCACAAGCACGCACGCACGCGCAAACAAACACGCACACACACGUGUACACAUACAUCCAAGCACGUCCGUAAUUCUGACGGCUACGGCGUCGGCCGGUACCAAGACGACGAAGACGACGUUCGCAGCAACGACAGCAACGACGACGACGACGACGAAACUCGUUCAGCCAGUGUCCUCCGGGGAUGGGACGGGUGACGGAGGCCACGAGCUGAAGCUGGAGGCCGACAUAGGGGACAUCUUCCAACACUCGCAUCUGUAUGUGGUGUCGGUGGUCUAGUGGUCAGGCUGUUGGACUCAUAACCGAAAGGUCGUGGAUUCAAAUCCCGAGAGGGGCCCGACGUUGUGUCUCUGGGAAAGGUACUUUACACGAAUUUACCUCACUUCACCCAGGUGGGAAUGCCUUUAGACAGCUAAAGUCUUUCCAGUUUUUAGUGUUUGAGCGUUUAAUUUAAUCGGCUGUUUUCAAUGCAUGCUUCCCUGGAAAUAUAAACACCUAACAGUGUUGAUAAGGGCGUUAAACCUAUACCAUUUUGGGUAAUAGACCGUAAAGCGCAUAGAGCGUACUGCCGAGCAGGGGCAUGCGUUGUACGAAUUCUGUUUAUUAUUUUCACUCCAACAUUAUUUUCCUUUACCACACCUUACUAGACACUGUUUUUAAAUGACAAGCAGAAAAUAUACCUCACUCUUCAGAACGAUAACGUUAACGUAAUUAGUUAGAAAUAUAAGAAUACGAUUAUAAUAGUAUAGUUGCCAUGGAAAGAGGUUUGACGUUAUUUGAUUUGUUAGAGUUCCACCUCCCUGGCCGUGUUCCGAUCUCCCUGAUCUUCUGCCCGUGCCCUUUUGUUUGCCAAAAAGCUUGGCAUAGCCGUGUGCCAACUCCUUGAAUUUGUUUGUAUUUUUGUAUUCCCAUUGUUUGUUUGUUGUUCGGAUUUUUAGUCGAGGGGUGGCGGUUUAGGGGAGGGGGUCUGGGGGUGUACAGGUAUGCUACUCCAUUCUCACGGUAAAAUUGAUUAACUCAGCUCCUCAUCAUCUCCCCCCUCUGUUUUCCCUGUAAGAGAACCGACAAUGGCAUUUUGACUUAACCUCAACGUUGUGACUUGGUAAUUAUUUAUUAGUAUAAUAACAUAAUACCCGUAUAGAUGGCCGAUGAGGGUUCCUGCUACAACCGCGUGAUUGGCUCUGAUAGGUUCUACUGCUUUUGUCAAUAAUGCCCUUUUUAUUAUCUUUUAGCGACACCUUAUUUUUGUUUUGACUUAUUUUUCGCAUUUUUCUUCGGAUCAACCCCCUUUUUUUGUGUACACAUUUAUUAUUUUUCUUCCUUUUUUGUGGGCAUCCCAGGAUAUACACAUCCAAAUCUUAGUACCAUGAGCAACAUAAAUAUUGCAGAUUUAUUGCCCGAAGAAUGUUCAGACGGUCCUCCUGGCGAUGAAGAAAAUCCCCUUUGAGACUUUCUGUCACUGUUGGAGCGGGAACUCCCAUAUCCCCCGAGGACUCUGCGACUUAGCUCAUCUCAUGUAGUCACCGGCACCGGUGGGUCGGAGAGAGAAAUGGGAAGAGGCCGGUGACUGUCAGCCUCUGUGGCUUGCUUGCGCAGUGUGCUGUUUGCGUGUUUGUUCGGGCUGGCUGCUUAACUCGAAAUUCACAUAUCCUUGGCUGUAAAGACAAAGGGCGUAGGCAUAUUUCGCGAAUUUGAUGUUGGGUGGAAGUAAUAGCUACAGCUUUAGGAUCCUUACAGUAUCAUUUUGAGAUUCUAUUUUCCUUUUUAAUAAAAAAACGCCCCCCCCCCCCCAAAAAAAAAAAAAA
rnacentral:lncRNA from 1 species